GAAAUAACUCAGUCGGGAGAGCGUUAGACUAUAGAUCGAAAGGUCCUUGGUUCGCUCCCGGGAUAAGCA
rnacentral:tRNA from 1 species